rnacentral:rRNA from 1 species
UACGAAGGGUGCUAGCGUUACUCGGAAUUACUGGGCGUAAAGAGCGCGUAGGCGGCUUGAUAAGUUGGAAGUGAAAUCCCAGAGCUCAACUCUGGAAUUGCUUUCAAAACUAUUUGGCUAGAGAUUGGUAGGGGACAGUGGAAUUCCUAGUGUAGAGGUGAAAUUCGUAGAUAUUAGGAGGAACACCGGUGGCGAAGGCGACUGUCUGGGCCAAAUCUGACGCUGUGGCGCGAAAGCGUGGGGAGCAAAC